UAAGUUAAUAAUUAAAAGUUUAUUAAAAGUUAAUAAUAAAUAAUUGACAUUGUUAUAAAAUAUUUAUAUUUUGAAUAAACACUGUACUUUUUAAACUUGUUUUUCAUGAAAGAAUCCUGAAAAAAAAAAAAAAUCACAGGUUCCAAAAAAUAUUUGGCAGCACAACUGUUGAUAUUAUCCAACAUUGAUCAUUCUAAUAAUAAAUCCGCAUAUUAGAAUGAUUUCUGAAGGAUCAUGUGACACUUAAGACUGGAGUAACUGCUGAUAAAAAUUCAGCUUUUCAUCACAGGAAUAAAUUCUAUUUUAAAGUAUGUUAAAAUAAAAAAACAUUAUUUUAUAUUGUAAAAACAUUUUGCAAUAUUACUGUUUUUUUUUUCUAUAUUUUUAAUCAAAUAAAUGCAGCCUUGAUGAGCAUAAGAGACUACUUUAAAGACUAUUACAAGUCUUACUGACCCAAACUUUUGAACGGUAGUGUAAGUAUUUGCAAGUGUUUUAUUACCUUAUUAAAAACCUACAAACAACUGUUUGUCACAUGUUAAAAAUGAUAAGCUUUAGCACAUGUCAGCAGUAAACAGAAUUGCAAGAGUGAGAGGACGGAUAACAUUGAUCAUUCUGCCUGAAACUGUGACCCACAGUCAGCGACUUUGUGAACGAUUUGGUCCGACCUGAAUAUAGGCAAAUUCGGAAGAAUCCUUUAUGUUGUGUUAUAUUUUUUUAGUCAUGGGAGAAGCCUGCCAAUGUGUUGUCGUUUUUACGCUCAGGCACGAGUUCAACAGGUGGCGUGUCCACUUUUAGAAACACGCUGCUCUGACUCGUCUGCUUUUCUAAAGGUCUAUGAAGCAAGUCGCGUGAGCACGUGAAAGGAUUCAGUAUCGUAACAUAUUUGUUUGUGAUGACAGAUCACAAUGGCUGUGUUUAGGCAGCAGCAGGUCGAGAAUUUCUAUGAGAUUGGAGAGGAACUUGGGAGUGGGCAGUUUGCAAUUGUAAAGCAGUGUCGUGAAAAGAGUUCAGGCCACGAUUUUGCAGCCAAGUUCAUAAAGAAGCGGCAGAGUAUUGCUAGUCGGCGAGGUGUGGUCCGAGAAGAGAUUGAGCGAGAGGUCAACAUCUUACAGCAGAUACACCAUCCCAAUAUUGUCAUGUUACAUGAUGUGUUUGAGAACAAGACAGAUGUGGUGUUGAUUUUGGAGCUGGUGUCUGGAGGAGAGCUUUUCGACUUUUUGGCAGAGAAAGAGUCUUUAAGUGAGGAGGAAGCCACACAGUUUAUUAAACAGAUUCUAGAGGGCGUACACUAUUUGCACACAAGGAAUAUUGCUCAUUUUGACCUGAAGCCUGAAAACAUCAUGCUUCUGGAUAAGAACGCCCCUCUCCCCCGAAUCAAACUCAUUGAUUUUGGCUUGGCCCACAAGAUUGCUGAAGGGGUUGAAUUUAAAAACAUCUUUGGAACACCAGAGUUUGUUGCUCCAGAGAUUGUGAAUUAUGAACCACUGGGACUGGAAGCAGAUAUGUGGAGUGUUGGAGUUAUAACAUAUAUUCUGUUGAGCGGGGCAUCUCCUUUCCUAGGAGAAACGAAGCAAGAUACUCUGGGAAACAUCUCAGCUAUGAACUAUGAGUUUGAUGAUGAAUUCUUUGGCCACACCAGUGAGCUUGCCAAGAAUUUUAUACGACAACUGCUGGAAAAGGACACCAAAAAGAGACUCACAAUUCAAGAUGCCUUGAACCAUCCCUGGAUUAAGUCUAACGAGCAUAAAGAGGAACGCAGUAAAGCACCAGAGAGAAAGAGAGAGCGUAGGCAGCUGAAGACGAAGCGUCUCAAAGAGUACACCAUCAAGUCCCACUCCAGCAUGCCUCCUAACAACACCUACAUCAACUUUGAACGCUUCGCACAGGUGGAGGAGGACGUGUCGGCCAUGGAGGGCAGUUUCUGCCAGCUGGCUUCGGCUCACGACUCCCUGCAGGAAGACAUUGACUCACUAGUGUCCGUCUACAAUGAGAAGGAGAUGUGGUACAAAGAAGAAAGCGAAAGCAUCAGACAUGAGUUGUCCCAGCUCCGUUAUGAGUUUCGUAAAGUCGAAGCCCAGAGGCGGGGCGUUCACGAAGAUAUGAGGAAUGUGGAUGCCAACGUUAGCCGAGUGAGCGAGCGAUAUAAGGAGAGGCAGACUCGCUAUGAGGCCUUGCAAAAAGAGCUGUGUGCUGAGCUCCAGUGGGUACAGGAAGUGGUGGGUUCGUUCCAGGUCACCUUCCCAAACUGUAGCUUUAGCAGCGUGUUUAAUACCGAUGUCAAUGAAGCGCUGAAAGAGUUGCUGAAUAGAUCCUGUGGAGGAGACCUGCUGAUGGGCAGCAAUCUGGACCAGCAAAGAUGACACAUUAAUAACCCCCCACCAACUGUUCACACAUCGUUACAUAAACACAGGCGAGAUAAAUGUGCUGAAGAUACUGCACUGGGGAAUAUAGACCUGAAUAAAAGCAGACCUUGAAUGAGAAAGGACCCUUGCUGUCUAUAGAGGGCCAGAAAGAUCAAACAUACCUUAAUUCGUGUUCCGAAGAUGAAUGAAGGUCUUACGGAAUUUGGAACUACAAGAGGGUGAGUGAUUAAUGACAGAAUUUUUAUUUUUGGGUGAUCUAUCCCUUUAAAUGAAAUUAAUUCAUGUUUUUAGGUCAAUAGGGUCAUUCCAUCUAAUUUUACUUCAUUUUUUUACCUCUAUGUUUUGGUAUUUCAAAACCACCUGUUAUUUGUUUAUUCUUUAAAAUGUGCACUAGAUACCAGGUUUUUCAAGACCAUCCUGAGCCAAGAUAUUGAGGUGUCCAUAAAUGUUUGUUUAAUUUGUUGUGAGCCUUGACACAAAGACCAGCAACUGUGGAUAAACCAAGUCUCAAACAAAAUUUUUUUUUCCCAUUUUUCCACAAGCUGAUACGAUUCUUUAGGGCCUUAAUGAAAAGUCUAUCACAUAUUUAGGUUAAAUUUUAUCAAUGGUAGUGAAAAACAACACUUUUUACCUUGUGCAAACCCGUUUUGUUUCAUGUUCCUUUAAAAGGUAAUAAGCUCUGCUCACCCUGCCCCUGUCAUCUGUGGGGCAACGAGCCGUCCUGUUUACAUUAGCAUUUAGCCACAACACUUGCUAACUAGCACAAUAUUAGGAAAGACGAUUUGCAAAGAUGCAUUAAAAAACCUUAUACUCACUUCUUCUGAAGCUGGAUCACAAAUGAUUCGCAUGAACAUAGACGUGUUUAUGUAGAUCGGGGGCACAUUCUCUUCAAAAACGAAAGUAACGUUAAUCCUCUGCAUCUUCAGCGGCUCAUGUCAGGAGUAAAUGUCGACUGCCAUGUUCAUUAUUACAUCCAACAUCAAUACACCUCAGUCGCUUAGGAGACAUUCUUGUCUACUCCUGCUCUGGCAUUGAAACAAUGGCGUACUGUUUACAGCUCCCUCAGGGCAGGUCUAAGGUAAGAUGGCCGUGUCAAUCAACUAUCCUGGGAGCGGCCUUGGUCUGUGUGACGUCACAUAGCCAAGAACCUGAGAAUGGCUUGAUUUGAAAAAGGGAAUAAUAAUUAUAGGGAUUAAAAAAAUACCACUGGCUGGAUUUUUAUCAUUAUAGGGUGGUUGUGUAUGCACACUGCCAACACAUAUUCAUGUUCAAACAACAUGUAAAAGUGGAUUUUGCAUCUGAUGACCCCUUCAAAAUUAGUCGAGCAACCUCCAUUGGACAACUUGGGAUGGAUUGACCCUAUAAAGGGAUCCCUUAAAGGCAUAGUUCACCCAAAAAUGAAAAAUACCCCAAAAUUUAGUCACCCUCAAGCCAUCCUAUGAUUUUAUUCUUUCAGACGAAUAUACCAGACGGAGUUGUACCACAGUUGUCCAGGCUCUUCCAAGCUUUAUUAUGGCAGUGAAUGGGGGUCAAGAUUUUGAAGCAAAAUAAAGUGCAUCCAUCCAUCAUAUAAAGUACUCCACUCAGUUCCGGGGCAGUUAAUAAACGCCAUUCGAAGUGAGGCAACGUAUUUGUAUAAGAAAAAUAUCCAUAUUUAAAAUGAGAUUAUCAUAUUCUCACCAGAUUUCAUACACUGGAAUGCCUCUUGCUCUUACGUAUGACAGUUUAUGGUUCAUAAAGACUUAAAUGUAGAUAAUUUUCUUACACAAACGCAUCAAUUUGCUUCAGAAGGCCUUUACUAAUCCCCCAGAGCAGUGUGAAGUACUUUUUAUAAUGGAUAUAUGCACUUUAUUUUGCUUCAAAAUCUCAACAGCCGUACACUGUCAAUAUAAAACCAGGACAUUUUUUACUCUAACUCCGACUGUAUUGGUCUGAAAGAUGAAACUUAUAUACACCUAGGAUGGCUUGAGGGUGAGUAAAUCAAAUCAUGGGGUAAUUUUUAAUUUUUGGCUAAACCAGGGGUGCCCAACCCUGUUCCUGGAGAUCGACUUUCCUGCAGAGUUUAGUUCUAACCCUAAUCAAACACACCUGUCUGUAAUUAUCAAGUGCCCCUUGAGAUCCUAAUUAGCUGGUUCAGGUGUCUUUGGUCAGGGUUGGAGCUGAACUCUGUAGGAAAGUCGAUCUCCAGGACCAGGGUGGAGCACCCCUGGGCUAAACUGUCUCUUUAGGAUUAUCCUUUAAAUGAAAUGGUGCUACAUAGCUGUUUUUUCUUCUAUUUUGUCUUUUGUCUAGUAUCGAUAUAGAGCAGAUUGAUAAUUUUGAGUUGUAAAAUUACAAAAGAUGUUUAAUAUUAUAUAAAAGGUGUAUUUAAAAUCAUGGUGCUUUUUUCAUUUAUAUUACAUGAUCAGCUGUAAUUUGUUCAGCCAGUAUUUACACAGAACAUGAUGUCCACCUUUGGUUAUUUGUGUACCAGAUCAGAUUAAAUAAGGUUGAAAUGGCAAAUGAGCCAAGCUUAUUUGAUUAAACCUUGCAAAUUUUUUGAAUGUGCCACAGUUUCAGAUUCAAUUUUUGUUCUUUCUUUUACUUGCUGUCUAAUGCAAUGUGCUGCAGAGCAAUGUGUGUUUAUUUGGAAUGUGCAUUUGAGUUUAUGUUGUAUUUAAUAAGUACAGAAGGGCUGUUUGUUAUGUCUGCAUGACAUAAGUUGCUAUGCUUAGUGGGAUGAUGCCCCUUCCAGCAUGCACUCAUGGACCUAUCAGAGUGUAGACUCUUUUAAACAAUUGAUUACAGUAUUGGAACUACUGGAAAGGGAUGUUGAUUCUCAGUGAACUAUUGGGGAAGCUGUAAAGUCUUAAUGGAAGUUAUUCCUAUGUCCCUUUGCAUAUUA